rnacentral:rRNA from 2 species
UCGACCUCAGAUCAGACGA